UGCCAGUAGGGAAUCUUCCGCAAUGGGCGAAAGCCUGACGGAGCAAUGCCGCGUGAGUGAUGAAGGUUUUCGGAUCGUAAAGCUCUGUUGCCAGGGAAGAACGUCCUUGAGAGUAACUGCUCAAGGAGUGACGGUACCUGAGAAGAAAGCCCCGGCUAACUACGUGCCAGCAGCCGCGGUAAUACGUAGGGGGCAAGCGUUGUCCGGAAUUAUUGGGCGUAAAGCGCGCGCAGGCGGUCAUUUAAGUCUGGUGUUUAAUCCCGGGGCUCAACCCCGGAUCGCACUGGAAACUGGAUGACUUGAGUGCAGAAGAGGAGAGUGGAAUUCCACGUGUAGCGGUGAAAUGCGUAGAGAUGUGGAGGAACACCAGUGGCGAAGGCGACUCUCUGGGCUGUAACUGACGCUGAGGCGCGAAAGCGUGGGGAGCAAACAGGAUUAGAUACCCCCGGGKARUCAA
rnacentral:rRNA from 1 species